UACGUAGGGGGCUAGCGUUGUCCGGAAUCAUUGGGCGUAAAGAGCGUGUAGGCGGCCCGGUAAGUCCGCUGUAAAAGUCAAAGGCUCAACCUUUGAAUGUCAGUGGAUACUGCCGGGCUAGAGUCCGGAAGAGGCGAGUGGAACUCCUGGUGUAGCGGUGGAAUGCGUAGAUAUCAGGAGGAAUACCGAUGGCGAAGGCAGGUCUCUGGGCUGACACUGACGCUCAUGCACGAAAGCGUGGGGAGCAAACAGG
rnacentral:rRNA from 1 species